GUGCUCACUUUGACAACACAUAUACUAAAAUUGGAAUGAUACAGAUUAGCAUGACCCCUCUGUAAAGGUAACAUGCAAAUGUGUGAAGCACUCCAUAUUUUU
ensembl:snRNA U6 U6 spliceosomal RNA